rnacentral:rRNA from 1 species
UGUAAGCGUAUACCAAAGUUGUUGCAGUUAAAACGCUCGUAGUCGGAAUUUGGCAGUUCCGGAAGUGUGCACGUCGUGUGCGCACUUUGCGGGGACUGCUUUUGUGGUCUUGCGUAGGAUGAGGCACUUUCAUUAGUGAACGUCCUCACGCAACAACUCUUUACUGUGAGAAAAUCAGAGUGCUCAAAGCAGGCAUUUGCCGUGAAUGUAUUAGCAUGGAAUAAUAGAAUAGGACUCGGUUCUAUUUUGUUGGUUUGUUGGGACUGAGUAAUGAUUAAGAGGGACAGUUGGGGGCAUUUGUAUUCCGGCGCUAGAGGUGAAAUUCUUAGAUUGCCGGAAGACAAACUGCUGCGAAAGCGUCUGCCAAGGAUGUUUUCAUUGA